rnacentral:rRNA from 1 species
AGUGAACGCUGGCGGCGUGGUUUAGGCAUGCAAGUCGAGCGGAUCUAGUUUGACUUGAGUGGCCGCAAGGCUGCAAGAGUUGAGUUAGAUUAGCGGCAAACGGGUGAGUAACACGUGGGUAAUCUACCUUCGAGACCGGAAUAACACUUGGAAACGGGUGCUAAUGCCGGGUGAGACCACGGCAUCGCAUGAUGCUGUGAGAAUAGAUGGGGAACCGCAAGGUCCUGUCGCUUGAAGAUGAGCCCGCGUCCUAUCAGCUUGUUGGUGGGGUAAUGGCCUACCAAGGCGACGACGGGUAGCUGGU